UGAAAGGCGGGCUGAGCAUCCGCCACCUCGUCCCACUCCCUGCAUCCGGGCUGGGAAUCCAGCGGCAGCAGCAGCCGCCCGCCUGCAGGGGCCCGGCGCCUGGGCGGGGCAUCCUGAGGUUGGGCACCGUGGAGCGCCAUAUUGAAUGGAAGAAAGAUGGAAUGCCCUUGCAUCCAAAGAUGCCUGGUUCCAGUUCUUGAACAUCUGUGUUCAGGAGUGUGCACUCAGGAGCUGGAUAGUCUGGGUUGGAAUUCAC